GGAAUAUUGGACAAUGGGCGCAAGCCUGAUCCAGCCAUGCCGCGUGAGUGAAGAAGGCCUUAGGGUUGUAAAUCUCUUUCGGCGGGGAAGAUAAUGACGGUACCCGCAGAAGAAGCCCCGGCUAACUCCGUGCCAGCCGCCGCGGUAAUACGGAGGGGGGCUAGCGUUGUUCGGAAUUACUGGGCGUAAAGGGCGCGUAGGCGGUAUGCCAAGUCAGGGGUGAAAGGCCUGGGCUCAACCCAGGAACUGCCUUUGAAACUGGCAAACUAGAGUCCGAAAGAGGAUGGCGGAAUUCCCAGUGUAGAGGUGAAAUUCGUAGAUAUUGGGAAGAACACCAGUGGCGAAGGCGGCCAUCUGGAUCGGCACUGACGCUGAGGCGCGAAAGCGUGGGGAGCAAAC
rnacentral:rRNA from 1 species